GUUGUAUGGUUAAGUGACUAAGCGUACACGGUGGAUGCCUAGGCAGUUGGAGGCGAUGAAGGACGUAUUAACUUGCGAUAAGCCAUGAUGAGCUAGUAAAGAGCGCAUGAGUCAUGGAUUUCCGAAUGGGGAAACCCAGUGAGUUUACUCACUAUCCUUAACUGAAUACAUAGGUUAAGGAGGCGAACGAGGGGAACUGAAACAUCUAAGUACCCUUAGGAAAAGAAAUCAACCGAGAUUCCGUCAGUAGCGGCGAGCGAACGCGGAUUAGCCCUUAAGCUUGAUAAGAAUUAGUGGAACGCUCUGGAAAGUGCGGCGAUAGAGGGUGAUAGCCCCGUACACGAAGGUUCUUAUGAAGUGAAAACGAGUAGGUCGGGACACGUGUUAUCUUGACUGAAUAUGGGGGGACCAUCCUCCAAGGCUAAAUACUCCCAACUGACCGAUAGUGAACCAGUACCGUGAGGGAAAGGCGAAAAGAACCCCUGUGAGGGGAGUGAAAUAGAACCUGAAACCGUGUACGUACAAGCAGUAGGAGCCCCUUCACUCAAGUGCCUCGGCGCUUGAGGGAAGGCAAACCUUCUCAAGGCAACAGCGCAGGACUUGCAAAGCAGGUUGGCGCAUCGUUUUGACCCGCAGCGCAGUGUGCGUGCAAGCACAUGAGCAGCGGAAGCAAAAGGAUGUGGCAAGAUGGACAGCAAGGACAAGCGGGACAUUUGAGGAAGGGGUGACUGCGUACCUUUUGUAUAAUGGGUCAGCGACUUACAUUUUGUAGCAAGGUUAACCGAAUAGGGUAGCCGUAGGGAAACCGAGUCUUAACUGGGCGUCGAGUUGCAAGGUGUAGACCCGAAACCGGGCGAUCUAGCCAUGGGCAGGUUGAAGGUUGAGUAACAUCAACUGGAGGACCGAACUCACUAAUGUUGAAAAAUUAGGAGAUGACCUGUGGCUCGGAGUGAAAGGCUAAUCAAGCCCGGAGAUAGCUGGUUCUCCCCGAAAUCUAUUUAGGUAGAGCCUCGGACGAAUACCCUUGGGGGUAGAGCACUGUUUCGGCUAGGGGCCCAUCCCGGGUUACCAAACCGAUGCAAACUCCGAAUACCAAGGAGUACUAUCCGGGAGACACACGGCGGGUGCUAACGUUCGUCGUGAAGAGGGAAACAACCCAGACCGCCAGCUAAGGUCCCCAAGUCAUGGUUCAGUGGGAAACGAUGUGGGAAGGCAUAGACAGCUAGGAGGUUGGCUUAGAAGCAGCCACCCUUUAAAGAAAGCGUAAUAGCUCACUAGUCGAGUCGGCCUGCGCGGAAGAUGUAACGGGGCUAAACCAUGCACCGAAGCUGCGGCAGCGCGUGCUGGGUAGGGGAGCGUUCUGUAAGCCGUUGAAGGUGGAUUGAGAAGUCUGCUGGAGGUAUCAGAAGUGCGAAUGCUGACAUGAGUAACGAUAAUGGGGGUGAAAAACCCGCACGCCGGAAGACCAAGGGUUCCUAUCCCAUGCUAAUCAGGGUAGGGUAAGUCGGCCCCUAAGGCGAGGCUGAAAAGCGUAGUCGAUGGGAAACAGGUUAAUAUUCCUGUACUGCUGCAUACUGCGAUGGGGUGACGGAGAAGGCUAGGUAAGCGCGGCGUUGGUAGUCCGCGUGAAAGUGAGUAGGCAGGGGGAUUAGGCAAAUCCGGUUCCCUAUAUGCUGAGACACGAGACGAGACUCUACGGAGUCGAAGUUAUUGAUGCCAUGCUUCCAGGAAAACCCUCUAAGCUUCAGGUAUGCAGAACCGUACCCGAAACCGACACAGGUGGUCAGGUAGAGAAUACUAAGGCGCUUGAGAGAACUCGGGUGAAGGAACUAGGCAAAAUAGUACCGUAACUUCGGGAGAAGGUACGCCCUUGUUGGUGAAGUGCUUCGCGCGCGGAGCUGGCGAGGGUCGCAGUGACCAGGUGGCUGGGACUGUUUAUUAAAAACACAGCACUCUGCAAACUCGAAAGAGGACGUAUAGGGUGUGACACCUGCCCGGUGCCGGAAGGUUAAUUGAUGGGGUUAGCUUAGGCGAAGCUCUUGAUCGAAGCCCCGGUAAACGGCGGCCGUAACUAUAACGGUCCUAAGGUAGCGAAAUUCCUUGUCGGGUAAGUUCCGACCUGCACGAAUGGUGUAACCAUGGCCACGCUGUCUCCACCCGAGACUCAGUGAAAUUGAAAUCGCUGUGAAGAUGCAGUGUACCCGCGGCUAGACGGAAAGACCCCGUGAACCUUUACUACAGCUUGGCACUGAACAUUGAACCUACAUGUGUAGGAUAGGUGGGAGGCUAAGAAGCGGUAACGCCAGUUAUCGUGGAGCCGCCCUUGAAAUACCACCCUUGUAUGUUUGAUGUUCUAACUUAGCCCCAUGAACUGGGGUGAGGACAGUGCCUGGUGGGUAGUUUGACUGGGGCGGUCUCCUCCCAAAGAGUAACGGAGGAGCACGAAGGUUGGCUAAGUACGGUCGGACAUCGUACGGUUAGUGCAAAGGCAUAAGCCAGCUUAACUGCGAGACAGACACGUCGAGCAGGUGCGAAAGCAGGUCUUAGUGAUCCGGUGGUUCUGAAUGGAAGGGCCAUCGCUCAACGGAUAAAAGGUACUCCGGGGAUAACAGGCUGAUACCGCCCAAGAGUUCAUAUCGACGGCGGUGUUUGGCACCUCGAUGUCGGCUCAUCACAUCCUGGGGCUGAAGUCGGUCCCAAGGGUAUGGCUGUUCGCCAUUUAAAGUGGUACGCGAGCUGGGUUUAGAACGUCGUGAGACAGUUCGGUCCCUAUCUGCCGUGGGCGUUUGAGAGUUGAGAGGGGUUGCUCCUAGUACGAGAGGACCGGAGUGAACGAACCUCUGGUGUUCGGGUUGUCACGCCAGUGGCACUGCCCGGUAGCUAUGUUCGGAAUCGAUAACCGCUGAAAGCAUCUAAGCGGGAAGCGAGCCUCAAGAUGAGCUCUCACUGGCAUGUAAUUGCCCUAAAGGGUUGUUGAAGACUACAACGUUGAUAGGCACGGUGUGGAAGCGCUGUAAGGCGUUGAGCUAACGUGUACUAAUUGCCCGUGAGGCUUAACCAUACAACACCGAAG
rnacentral:rRNA from 1 species